rnacentral:rRNA from 1 species
CCUACGGGAGGCAGCAGUGAGGAAUAUUGGUCAAUGGCCGGAAGGCUGAACCAGCCAAGCCGCGUGAAGGACGAAGGUGCCAAGCAUUGUAAACUUCUUUUGUCAAGGGACAAAAUCAGGCUCGAGAGCCUGACCAAGGGUACUUGAAGAAAAAGCAUCGGCUAACUCCGUGCAAGCAGCCGCGGUAAUACGGAGGAUGCGAGUGUUAUCCGGAUUAAUUGGGUUAAAAGGGGGCGGAGGCGGACUGUUAAGUCAGCGGUAAAAGCCCGGGGCUCAACCCCGGCGAGCCGUUGAAACUGGCUGUCUUGAGAUGUCGAGAGGUAUGCGGAAUGCGCAGUGUAGCGGUGAAAUGCUUAGAUAUUGCGCAGAACUCCGAUUGCGAAGGCAGCGUACCGGCGGCGAUCUGACGCUGAGGCACGAAAGCGUGGGUAUCGAACAGGAUUAGAUACCCUAGUAGUC